rnacentral:lncRNA from 1 species
CAUUUUUUCCAAUUUCGACACUUUUUACCCCCAAUAUUUGUGUAAGAACAUCGAGAUCAACUGCCUGCACUUCCUCAAUAGUUUGUAUCGGACUACUCUAACGUAACCGAAGUAAACUCUCUCCUUUUACACGAGAAGAUCCCGCGGGAUGUUGCUAUGGCUACUGCAUCGAUUGCGCCAGUCGAGACGUGAUGUCAUCGAAAUGGAGAAGAAUUAUUGGACGAAAAUAUUUUAAAAUCAGCUACUCCGAACACAUAAAAGAAGAGAAUUUGCAAAGUAUUUAAAUUUUUCUUGUAGAUAAAAACACUAAAAAAACUAUCUAACAGAAACAUCGCUAUUCCAUCUCUAAGAUCUAAAUGUAUUAGAUUUUAAGUGUACGUAUUUAUCACAUUCGGCUACGCAUUUGAGCAAUUUAAAUUGUUCAGAUGCAUAGAGAAUGGGAUAAAUACAUGGAAAUUCGUUUCCUUCAUUAUCCAUCUAAUUUUGAGACUGCAGUUACGAAAAAAAUCUCCCUACAAAAAACAGAAUCUCACGAGGAAAUGAUAACCAAUGCAAUCAAAGAAAGAUCCGCGAAGUAAUUCCAUCUGUCCUAUUGUGAACAAAUAUAUAUCCAGUUAGCCAGCAUAAAUCUUAACUUUCUGACGGUAUCAGACAGUCACGAUCCUAUCAUUAACGACUGAGGUAAAAAUAUUGUCGAUCGAGUGUGGUUGCAUACAAAAUCUUUUAUAAUAUUUUGUUAACGUUCUGAAUUCGUGUAGAAAUCGAAAAGAAACCCUUAGGGACGAUUGGUGACUAGUCCGUCAAAAUCCCUCCUACCGUUUCCCCCUUCGCCCCCGACUGUCCAAAAUCCAAUAAAUGAUAAUUAACAGUACACUGUAGACAAUAUAUGACUCAGUAUUCUCAGCAGGGAACUUUCCAAUGUUGUAAAUCCCACCUAUAGAUGUUGCAUGAGUCACUCACAUCCUUCAGGUAAAUAACUAAUAAACUUUUCGUUAUUAUUUUGAAACUGUAUUGUCAUCUUCGACCUUGUUUUGUAAUAUUUUCAAUUUGAACUAUUAUUUUUUUCAAUUUUAAAAAAUUUCGUCUUAAAUAUUAAUAGAAUCUUUUCAUAUAUUACGAAAAUUUGAUAUUGGGAUACGCUAUUGGUUGAUUAGAUGCGUUAAAAUCAAAUUUGACCAAUCGCCUGGAGUUUUACCAAUUUCCACCGAUGGAAUUUUAACAGAUGUACAGUACGUAUUCAGCUUUACUGCAGCGGAAUGUUUUUCUUCUUAUUUUAAAUUAAAGUUUGAAUUUAAUUUAAAAUUGAAAAUAAAAAAAUUAAGAUAGUGUAACUAAAAGUUAUUUUCACGCACAAAAAAAGAAAGAAAAUGAUUUAUUCAUAGAAAAAUUAUACAUUAUUAAUGUGAGAUAUAGCGAUGUCGAAAUUAAACAAUGUAUAAAAAUAAUGUAAAUAAAAAUUUUUUCAGCGUUUAAUUUUAUGUGAAAGUAUGAAAUUGAAAUAUUCUUCGAUGCGCCUUAAGCAAUAUAAAAAUUUGCAUUAUUAAAUAUAAUGAAGCAGGUGUUAUAAAGAAUUUUUCUCUAUCAUUGAAGGAUUUAAAGUGAAAAAUAAUAGCAGAAAAUACACUCUACAAUGUCCUUUUUUCAAUUUUUUUUUACAAAUUAUCUUAUUUUAUUCAAAUUCUAAUUAGUUAACCAAUGUACUAAAACUAUGUAACUACUGAAAGUACUUAAAUUUGGAAUUAUAUGUUUAUGUUCGAGUUAAACACUGCUAUCUACGAGUUAAUUUUAAAUAUAUUAUAUACAUAACAAUAGAAUUAAAUUAAAAAUCGACGUAUAAAUUAGAAUUAUGUAUCUUACAACUAAAGGAUAAUUAAAUUAAAUAAAAGCAUUGUUGAUCUUAUUAAACGAUUUAAUUUUUAUAGCUCAGAAACCAAAUCCAUCACUUUUAGCAAAGGAAAAUCAUCAUCAAAAUUAUAUGUUAAUUUAUAUUAUUA